UGCCGGACCUGACUGCUAUCGGAUUGAUACUAAGCCAUGCGAGUCAUUGUAGCAAUACAAGGCAUACGGCUCAGUAACGCGUAGUCAACCUAACCUAUGGACGGGAAUAACCUCGGGAAACUGAGAAUAAUGCCCGAUAGAACACUAUACCUGGAAUGGUUUGUGUUCCAAAUGAUUUAUCGCCAUAGGAUGGGACUGCGGCCUAUCAGUUUGUUGGUGAGGUAAUGGCCCACCAAGACUAUUACAGGUACGGGCUCUGAGAGGAGUAGCCCGGAGAUGGGUACUGAGACACGGACCCAGGCGGGGUGGGGUGCAGCAGGCGCGAAAACGUGGCAAUGCGAGAAAUCGUGACCAGGGAACUCCAAGUGCAUCGGGUAAGACCGAUGCUUUUCUAGACUCUAAAAAGGUCUUGGAAUAAGAGGUGGGUAAGGACGGUGCCAGCCGCCGCGGUAAUACCGGCGCCUCAAGUGGUAGUCGCUUUUAUUGGGCCUAAAACGUCCGUAGCCGGUCUGAUACAUUCGUGGGUAAAUCAACCAGCUUAACUGGUUGAAUUCUGCGAGGACGGUCAGACUUGGGACCGGGAGAGGUGUGGGGUACGCUCAGGGUAGGGGUAAAAUCCUGUCAUCCUGAGCGGACCACCUGUUGCGAAGGCGCCACACUAGAACGGAUCCGACGGUCAGGGACGAAGCCUAGGGGCACGAACCGGAUUAGAUACCCGGGUAGUCCUAGGUGUAAACGCUGUGGACUUGAUGUUGGGGGGUGCUCCGAGCACUCUCAGUGUCGAAGCGAAGGUGAUAAGUCCACUGCCUGGGAAGUACGGUCGCAAGGCUGAAACUUAAAGGAAUUGGCGGGGGAGCACCGCAACCUGAGGAUUGUGCGGUUUAAUUGGAUUCAACGCCGGAAAACUCACCAUAGCCGACGGACAUAUGAAGGUCAGUGUAAUGAACUUACCCGAUUGUUCGAGAGGUAGUGCAUGGCCGCCGUCACCCCCUACCGCAAGGCGUUCUGUUAACUCCACCCAACGAACGAGACCCUCAUCUCUAUUUGCUAACUAGAUCUCCGGAUCUAGUGCACUAUAGGGAGACCGCUGGCGCUAAGUCAGAGGAAGGGGAGGGCAACGGUAGGUCAGUAUGCUCCGAAUGCUAUGGGCUACACGCGCAAUACAAAGGACAGGACAAUGGGCUGCUGCUCCGAAAGGAAUGAUAGCUAUCCCGAAACCUGUUCGUAGUUCGGAUUGAGGGCUGUAACUCGCCCUCAUGAAGCUGGAUUAGGUAGUAAUCGCGUCUCAAAAAGGCGCGGUGAAUAUGCCCCUG
rnacentral:rRNA from 1 species